GACGAACGCUGGCGGCGUGCUUAACACAUGCAAGUCGAACGGAAAGGCCCUGCUUUUGUGGGGUGCUCGAGUGGCGAACGGGUGAGUAACACGUGAGUAACCUGCCCUUGACUUUGGGAUAACUUCAGGAAACUGGGGCUAAUACCGGAUAGGAGCUCCUGCUGCAUGGUGGGGGUUGGAAAGUGUCGGCGGUUGGGGAUGGACUCGCGGUUUAUCAGCUUGUUGGUGGGGUAGUGGCUUACCAAGGCUUUGACGGGUAGCCGGCCUGAGAGGGUGACCGGCCACAUUGGGACUGAGAUACGGCCCAGACUCCUACGGGAGGCAGAAGUGGGGAAUAUUGCACAAUGGGCGGAAGCCGGAUGCAGCAACGCCGCGUGCGGGAUGACGGCCUUCGGGUUGUAAACCGCUUUCGCCUGUGACGAAGCGUGAGUGACGGUAAUGGGUAAAGAAGCACCGGCUAACUACGUG
rnacentral:rRNA from 1 species